UACGUAGGGUGCGAGCGUUGUCCGGAAUUAUUGGGCGUAAAGAGCUCGUAGGCGGUGUGUCACGUCGUUCGUGAAAACCUGCAGCUUAACUGUGGGCGUGCGGUCGAUACGGGCAUCACUGGAGUUCGGAAGAGGAGAGUGGAAUUCCUGGUGUAGCGGUGAAAUGCGCAGAUAUCAGGAAGAACACCCGUGGCGAAGGCGGCCCUCUGGGACGGUACUGACGCUGAGACGCGAAAGCGUGGGGAGCGAACAGG
rnacentral:rRNA from 1 species